rnacentral:lncRNA from 1 species
AAAUUAAUACGAUAAGUGAAUUAAUAAGAACCAUAAGCUACCGUUUGGUUCGGGAUUAAGAAAAAACUAGUUAUUCCAGGAAUAGGGUUAAGUUUAGGGUUAAGAUGAGAUUAGAGUAUUUUUGUGUGGUUGGAGGUUGGAGUUAGUCCAGGAUAGUAAAAAAUAGUAUUUGGUUGGAGUAGAUGAGAUAAAAAGGAUAGUGGGUUAUUAUGAAUAGAAAAUAGUGUUUGGUUGGGGUUUGGUGGGGUUAGACGGGAUUAGCUAAUCUGGAAUAAUACAUUUGAGAUGGGGUUAGCUAACCCCAUCCAUUUUUAGAAGUAUUUGGGAAUAAAAUGGGGGUUAAGCCAACUAAACGGAGCGCAUGAAAAACUUUUUUUUUUUAAACCAGGCUAUAAGAAAAUAUUUGCGUCACAUAAUUAGUGAUGAUGGGGAAGCAUUUGGCCCCGUAGAUGGUGCGAUUGAGACAAAUGAGCGUCCAAAAAAUCCUACUACGCAUGGGUCGCAUUGAAAUCAAAAUCCUAUUACGCAUGGGUUACGUUGAGCCUUUUGGGCCCCGCGAAUGAUUGGUGAUCAUUAUUGACUCGUAAACUAUAUAUAAUAGAUAUUAUCCAAUAAAUUACUAUAUAUUUUGAGCAAUGCUUCAAUAUUUGUCUUUUUGCUGAAUUUGUAUUAUUGUUCAAAUGGUGCUAUCCAGUUCAAUUUGGAGUGGAAUAUUACAUCCAAACUUAUAAUGGCAUAUAUUAUGCAAGACUUCUGCGUUUUUUGAACUCGGGUUCGUGUGAUCAAUGAUUAGAAAACGAAAAUUAAAAGAGAGAGAAAAAAAUAACAGUAAAAUAAGAAAAAAUAUCAGAUGAAGAAGAAAAAGAAUGGCUUUAAGUUUAAAAUGCGAGCUUUGUUUAGUUAUCUGAAAAAUCCGAUCAACCUGAGUUACACACGAGUUUAAAUUACACCAUCGAUCUCUCUACCUAUCAAGUUGUUUAUUUUUUGUCUGAGAGCUUUAAAUUCUUAAAAUACACACACUCAACGCUCUUAUUUCUACUCCAGUAAGACCUAAAUCUCGAAUUAAAAUUUUGGUACUAAUCAUCUAGCAUUUUGCGACUUACGCCAACAACGAUUGGUUAGAUCUAACAAUUAAGAUGAUUAAGUUCUUCACGACUUUAGUGACCUUUCAUUCAAUUAUAUAUCUUAUUCUAAUUAAUGAAUACUUUGAUUUGAAUUAGAGUUGGUCUUUGACAAUUAUAACUUUUAAAAUUAAAAUCAUGGCAAGCCUAUUUUCUUCGGCUCAGUACAGCAUGGCCCGCAUGUCAUGCAAAAAGACAAGGAUCCAGCUUUAAUUUUUGUGUAGAGAGACAAGAAGAAGAAAAAUUAUCUAGUAAUCAGAGAGACAGAAAGUCCUUGUUAUAAUAACAACUUUAUUUCUUGCACUCUAGACUUUUUUAUAUUUACACACAGCUUUACAAUAAAAAUUAACUAGUUAUACUAUUGGUAAUUAUAUAUAUGUACUAUACUAUUGGUAAUUAUAUAUAUAUAUAUAUAUAUAUAUAUAUACACACGUCCGUACAUUGGCAGAUUAAACCGUCUACACCAAAGUGGAGCACGUAGACGUUGACGGGUCAAAGAGCGCCGGAACCAGAUACUUCCUCCCGUGGACUCCAUUAGCGUUGUAGCUCGCGCCAGUGGUGGGGUCCACUAGUAAAUUCCCAGCGUAACCCGGAUACGCUCCCUUGGCGUACACACCCGCGCACGCCGUCGCGGCCUCCAACGGCGCCUCCUUGGGCCCCUGGAAGAACCCGUCCCCAAACGGAUUCGUGACGGCCCCGGCCAUCAUGCUCGCGAGGUUGAUCACCAUGCCGUCGACGCCGACGUCGCCGUUAGGCGCCGUUAACGGCGGGGUCUGCGGGCCGUAGAUGGGCUGGUGGAAGGGCCACGCGCACUGGCCGGGGCACUGGGUCGCCGAGUUCCCAACCCAGACGUACGCCGACCCGGUUCUCCGGUCCGAGCCGUGGACCCCGCACCGGCUCAUGCAGAACCCCUCGACCGCCACGUCCUGGGCCGUGAAAACCAGCCCAACUCCUCCCUUCUUGGGCUGGGCCUUCGCGGCGAGCUCCGAAAUUUGGCCCAUCGUAAGGUACUUCCCCGAAGAGCACCCCUCAUCCGAGACUUGGUUUGUUAGCACGACAUGGGCCGUGUUUGGGCCUCCGCUUUUCCCGGCCUUGGACAAGUAAAGCUGUUCUAUGGAGCUCCACCACUGGGACACAGAAGGGUUCGGCGACUGUGUAGUGGAGGUGAGGGAGAGGAGAAAAUCGGAGAUAAUGGAUUUUUGGGUGGGAGUAAAUUGGCCGUACCAUAAGAUGGAGACAGGGAUAUCUCCUCGGAGCACUUGGCCGUUGUGGUACGUGAGGAGAUUGGGUUGUGGUUGCACUAAAGCACUCAGUUUCCUACCAGAGUACCCCGUUGAGAAGUGAACUAGGCUCACUAAAACUACAACUAGAAGAAGCAGCUGAGACUUAGCCAUUUUUGGGAAAGGGAUUUGAGGAGGAGCAGUGAGUGUUGUUUUGUUUUUGGCGGUGGGAUGAAGGGGAAUGAUGGGUUUACAUAUAUAUAUAUAUAUAUAUAGAGAGAGAGAGAGAGAGAGAGAGAGAGAGAGAGAGAGAGAGAGAGAGAGAUAUUGAUAGGAAGGGAAGAGAGAGUGGGAGUUGAUUGGGAGGGUUUCGCUCUCAUCUUCCUACCAUUAUUUUAGGAGGGAGUACUGGGACACCUGGAAGGCAGCUGGAUGUACCUAUCCGUGGUCUAAAAAAUAUAUAAAUUUUUUAAAAAAUAAUACUUAUAAAAAUAAAAAAUGACAAACGAAUAUUAUAAAAAAUUAACUGAACCAAUAUCUGAGCAAAGAUUCUUAUUGUAAAUCAACAGCAUUAGCUAAUGUCUCUUCUUUUCUAUCUUUAAGCUAAUUUAAUUCUUAUUUUUUUCACUUUUAUUUUAUUACUAUACAAUUUAGGGUAAUCGAUGGCAUUAUUUAUUUUAAAAUAAAAAACUAAAAAAUAAAUUUAUAAUCUCAUCACUAACGUGAGAGUCCGCAGUCAAUUCAUAUAUAAACUAUCCUAAUGAAAUAAUUUACAAUCAAGUAACUAUCGAAAAUUUAUAUAGUGAGCUCUUAAAUAAAGUUGCUUUCGAGUUAAUGUUAAAGGGCUAAAUCAAGUCAAAAUAUUUGAACUAAAAUGCAGAGAUAUUCUCCAUGUUCAUGCCAAUUUUUUCGUCGUUAAAUCCACUCUUUUAGCCAUUUUCACCUUUUAGAUCAUGUUAUUCAUCAACCAAUUAUUACAUUUCAGAAAAGUACUAUCAUUCUAAUGGCAUCUAUUCUUUUAUUCAAGACUCGAAAAUCUAAUAGCACCUAUGAGUAGUUGGUGCCAUUAAUAGUAUUGUAGUCUAGUUCCACUUUAUAUAUAUAUUUUCAAUAGCAAAUAUUAAUUUUAAUUGGAGAAGAAUAGAUUUAAUUUUUCAACUCCCUGUAGUGUCUGUAGCUCACUAUUGUAGCUCAACUUGUACGACGUACCCAAUUAUUUACGGAUCCGUAUUAAUUUGUCCAGUGGAAUCCACUGCAUCUAAUAAGCCCAAAGUUUGGAGAAUGAUUAAUAUUUUAUUUUUAUGAAAAGCAAUACCUGUUCCUUCAGUAAUAGCGCAUAAAUUUUACAUUUCACUCACCAAUAAUAUAUAUUUUUAUUAUUUUAAAUUUUAAAUUUUGAAAAAUUUAUCCUAAGUUAGGCACAAAAUUUAUAUUUAUUUUUAGGUGUAUGGUUAACUGUGCUCUUAUCUUUCAGCUAAAUGAUUGAGAUGCCUGUCCAUCAAUGUCAUCAUUGUCAAUUCAAUAAAAUUGGAAUCUGGCUCCAAAAGUAGCCUAAUUGUGUCAUGUCCAACGAACCAGUCCGUUUCAUUCUUAUGCAAAAAGUUGAAAUGAGUGUGUCUCUCAGAUUAUAAUUUACAAUGUUUAGGAGUAAGUUACCAAAUCUUUAUAAACUAGGCCUUUAUUAAAGUAAAAUGUGAUUUAUACGAUAAGAUUUCUGAGUACAGUUGUCUGAACAAAAAUUUUACUGAAAUAAUAAUUAUACUUUCAAUUUUGAAAAAAAAAUAAACGACACACCAAACUAUUUUUCAUAAAUUGUAUUAUUUUUUUUUAUUAAUUUUAUCUUAAUCAGGACGAAUUUCGAGCAGCGUUAUGUCGGCAAUUAGGAGGGACCGGGAAAAUUAAUAAUGCCGCGUCAUUAAUACGGCCAUAUCUUAACCUAUUUUUGGUGUUUCUUUUUGCUUAUUAAAAUCAUAAAUUAUUUCUUGUGCAAUUAAGGACACCAUAUGAUUUCAAAUUGGGAGAAAGGUCGCGUCUGACGGCAGAGAGAGAGAGAGAGAGAGAGAGAGAGAGAGAGAGAGAGAAAAGAUUGGGAGAGGUCGUGUCAGGGGAAGGUAGGUUUUCCGGCCAGAGCUGACUAUGACUACAGUUGUCACGUGCGGGCAUACAGCUGUCGAAGAUUCUCAACACGAGCACAUUUAUUUGUUAGAGAUGAGGACUCCAAAAUCCUAUUCAAUGCUCCAUCUCCUUUGUUUACUUGCAUAUUUAGAAUUUCUUUUUUUCUUUUGUCCUAACUAGGGGAAGCAGUUCAACUUAUUGUUUAUAAGUCAGCUCAUAUUUUACUCAAAAUAAAUUCGAGAUCGAAUUAUUCGAGAUCGAAUUGUUCAUAAACAAGUCGAACACGAGUUCGUUUCGAUAACCAUUCGAUUACAUAUAUUUUAUUUUUAUAGAACUUACAUAAUUUAUACAAAAUGAAUAAUUAUAUAUAUAAUAUAUAUUUUUAUUAUUUAAUUUUUAUCUCAAUAUAAAUAUAAAAUCUAACUCAAUUAUAAAAAGAUCUAUUUAUGUGCAAGGUUUUAACCAUUAGAUCAAAAUCUAAUGGGUAAAAUCACGUAAAUUUAUUUUCUAUAUAUAUUCCUUAUAAUUUGUAACUAAUUGUUUAUUAGUCUGCUCCUGUUCGGCUCGUUAAUAAACCAAUCAAACACGAGCUGAAUUUUUCGACUCGAUACUUUAAUGAGCCAACUUAAAAUCGGCCCGUUUAUGAAAUGAGCCGAACACCGGUCGAUCUGAGUUUGCUCGUGUUCGGCUUGUUACACCCCCUAAUCGUUACUUAUUCUAGAUUAAAAAUUAUUUUUGAUUAUACUAAAAUUUAGAUAAAUUUUAUUUUCUCACUGGUGACCGUACAGUAUUCAAUUUUAAUUAUUUUUUAUUUUGCCUUGUAAAAUGUCGUCAGCAACUAGACAGAACAUAAUUAUGAUAUAUUUGAAAAUAGUAGAUUUGUGGCUGAAUUUGAUUUAUUAUUUUGACACAUUAAACAACAGCAGUGAGCAAUUAUUGCCAGAAGAUAAGUUCACCCUUCACUUUCUGCGACUCAAUCACUCAAAUAUGCUCUUACUAUUCUAUACUAAUUUUUUUUUUGUAUGGGCCAAUUAGGCCAAAAUCAUGAGGGCCAACUUUUAGCCUAAUGGGCUCUUCUUUCGAAGCCCAAACGAGUAGCGUUGCGUACUCACAGUGAUAUUAAUGAUGUGGUAUUUUCAGCCAAAUAUAUUUGGUCUUUGAGAUACAUCCAUUUCAUUAUAAUUUUUAGAAAAAAAAAAUUAAUAAAUUUUUUAAUAAAUCGAGGAAUUUGAAUGGUAGAGAUAUAGUGAUGUGGUGUGACUAUCACAUUCGACGUUCAAGAUUUUAUUCGAGAUUAUUCUUAUAUAGGAUAAGGCAGGAGCGCUUCAAUCCAAUCACAUUGUCACGACAUUUUCGAUGGGAUUUAAUAAGCUCAGCCUGAUUUGUAAUGGAAUCAUUUGAUUCCUCUCUAUUUGAUUAUUCCAAUUUCUUACAUGCCUUAACCCCUUUCGAGUGACUAAAUUCUUGGUGUCUGCUUUAGUCUCUCAUCUCAUCUUAUCUUAUACCAAUUAGCGAUGAAUGUUUAACUAGCUCUAUAUUGCACACCUUGAGUGGACAAUUAAAAUAUCAAUAUCUCGGCCUAGCAGUUUGAAAUUCAAACUGUGAGCUUGAUUACCUUCCAAACAAAAAGAAGAAGUUUUAAAUACUUGAUCCAAAUGUUUUUUUUUUCGGGGGAGAUUAAUAAUUUAAAGAUGAUGGUCUUUCGAAAUGUUUUCUCUUUUUUACAUCGUGAGCAGAAAAAAUAAAUAAAAUUAUUGAAGUUCAAAGAAAGCACCAUGUAAACGAAUCACAAAUUUCACGCGCUUUAUUUUACUUUUCCAAGGGGGGUAACAGAUAACGAAUCAACGAAUUACAUGGAUAAUAACUCACAAGUAUCUACAUUUACCAUAUAUAUAUAUAUAUAUAUAUAUAAUUAUAAUUAUAUAUGUAACAUAGUUAAUAUCUUUUUAUCCAAUCCUAAACCAUGGUGGAGCACGUAGACGUUGACGGGUCAAACAGCGCCGGAACCAGAUACUUCCUCCCGUGGACUCCAUUAGCGUUGUAGCUCGCGCCAGUGGUGGGGUCCACUAGUAAAUUCCCAGCGUAACCCGGAUACGCCCCCUUGCCGUACACACCCGCGCACGCCGUCGCGGCCUCCAACGGCGCCUCCUUGGGCCCCUGGAAGAACCCGUCCCCGAACGGAUUCGUGACGGCCCCGGCCAACAUGCUCGCGAGGUUGAUCACCAUGCCGUCGACGCCGACGUCGCCGUUAGGCGCCGUUAGCGGCGGGGUCUGUGGGCCGUAGGUGGGCUGGUGGAAGGGCCACGCGCACUGGCCCGGGCACUGGGUCGCCGAGUUCCCGACCCAGACGUACGCCGACCCGGUUCUCGGGUCCGAGCCGUGGAGCCCACACCGGCUCAUGCAGAACCCCUCGACCGCCACGUCCUGGGCCGUGAAAACCAGCCCAACUCCUCCCUUCUUGGGCUGGGCCCUCGCGGCGAGCUCCGAAAUUUGGCCCAUCGUAAGGGUCCUCCCCAAAGAGCACCCCUCAUCGGAGACUUGGUUUGCUAACACGACAUGGGCCGUGUUUGGGCCUCCACUUUUCCCGGCCUUGGACAAGUAAAGCUGUUCUAUGGAGCUCCACCACUGGGACACAGAAGGGUUGGGCGAGGACUGUGUGGUGGAGGUGAGGGAGAGGAGAAAAUCGGAGAUGAUGGAUUUUUGGGUUGGAGUAAAUUGGCCGUACCAUAAGAUGGAGACAGGGAUAUCUCCUCGGAGCACUUGGCCGUUGUGGUACGUGAGGAGAUUGGGCUGUGGUUCUACUAAAGCACUCAGUUUUCUACUAAACCCCAUUGAGAAAUGUGCUAAGCUCAAAAUGGCUAAAAGUAGAAGAGUGAUCUUAGACAUACAAAACGAAGCCAUUGAAGAGAGAGAGAGAGAGAGAGAGAGAGAGAGGGGGGAAUGAGUGGGAGCUUAACCUUACAGUUGAAUGGUUUACGCUUAUGGUUGAAGCAAAAUUAAGCAACGCAUCUAUUUAUAGGAGAGGAGAUAUAUAACAAAUAAUGGGUGAGUUCAUUAAUUAUUACGAUGGUUCGCCUCAGCUUCCAUGUAAUAAUAUAAUAUUAUUAUUAUUAUUUUAUUAUUAUUCAUUAUAGAGAGGGAGGGACACUUGUUUUUGGUCGGCAACCGUGGAGUCUACAGAGUCUGCUUGCUACGUACGUGCAUGUAUGCGCUGUUUUUAAAGCAGGGUGUGGAAGUCAAAGAGCGUUAAGGGAUAGGGAGGCCGCGUACAUGCAUGCAUAACGCCGCAGAUUUAUGGAAUUUAGGAAGCAGGAUUGCAUGUGAUGGAGGGAGGUUCUUUGUAGCCACAUAUAAAGAUUAAUUAGUUUAUUGCAUUAAUAAAUAGGUGGGUGAUUAAAUUUUAAACAGGACACUUCUUGCUAAGCUAGUUGACCCAUAGUUAACAAUUAUUGGCAUGCUCCAGCUAAUAUAUCGGAGAUGAAAAGGACUUGGUUUUUAUCAAUUAAUGUCUCAGCUGAGUAAAAAAUUUUAAAGCUAAACUCCAUUUUUCGUUCUCGAACUUUCAGCAAACUGUAAUUUAUUAUAAUUUUUUUGUUCAAAAUUUUUAAUUAUUACGAUUAAACCUUACGGUCCAAUUUAGUUGCAUGAAUACUGAUAUUUUAGUAAUGUAAUAGUGAUGUAAUACUUUACCAUCAUCGAUUACAAUAUUAUCAUAUUAAUAAUACUUUAUUAUUUAACAAAUUAAAUUAGACUAUAAAAUUUAACUAUAAUAGUUUAAAAUUUUUAAAUAAAAAUUAUAAUAAAUUAAAUUUUGGUGACUAAAUUAAAUAUCCCACUUUCCCUUUUGCUUAGCUGUAUUCGCAAGGGGAGAAUAUCUUGUAGUUGUAGCCAAAGCUGGCUACAGUUGGCACGUGCGAGGAGCGUAGCAGUCGAAAUAUUCUCUCACGAGUAAAUUGUGAGCAGUUCUUGGCCAAUAUGAAAUUUGCAUUUAAGUUGUUUUAGACAAAUAAAAUUAUUUUUAUAUAUUAUUAAUGUAUUGAUCGAUACAUUUAUUUUUGUAUUAUUUUUGAAUAUAGCAUAGAACAAAGUUAUUUGGGCCUCCUAAAACAUAAAUUUUAUAAUAAUUUUAUAAUAUUAUUUGUUUAGUGAUCAAGUAAGUUUAUAUUUAUUUUAUUUUAGCCAUUAAGAAGUGAUCAAUUUUGAAACAACCUAGACUAGUAAGCAAAUACUGUCCAAAGAGUUAUUAAUUUUGAUUUAUAGAAAGCUAAAAUAGUCAAAACUAUAUUUAACAAUGUCUAUAACCAAUGCGAAAGUAAUUGAACAAUCUUAUUUAUUUCUUAGAAAUAUUCUAACUUUAUUUAAAGGCAUUGCUAUUCAUUAAUUGCAUGAUUAUAACCACGGAACCCAUGCACUUGGAUUUGCUGGUGUGUUCUGUUAGAAACUUUAUAAGAAUUCGGAUUGUACCUUCUGCCAUGAUUUCGAAGCGGCGAUCCUUAUUCGUGGUUCGUCCUCGUUCGUGAUCUGCAAGAAGACGGGACGUUUCGAGUCUAAUUCCCUUAUCCCCGGAGAUGGAGCCGUCACAGACAAUUGGNAUCAUGAAUAAACAAACGAGUAGAACAGAAAUUAUAUAUAACAAAUACUAAAAGUUAUACAUAACUUUAAUAUAUAGACUUCCUCUAAAAUAAGUCACAUUGCAAAGAAAAUUAUUAACCAAAACAAUAAUACAUAUAUAUCUCUAUAAUCUUUUCAUUAAAAAUAAAUAAAUAAAUAAAUUUUAUUGUGUCAAUGUUUGAUCACCACCCAAGCAGCUCCUAAUGGGGCUGAUCCGUACGGCCUCAAUGAUUUUUUUUUUUUUUUUUUUUGGUUUGACUGCCACCUAGGCAGCCCCAUUACGGGCUGCCUAGUACGACCCUAAUGGGUCAUACGGCUAGGUUUUUUUUUUUUUUAAUCGCUUCUUGAUCGCUCAAUGCGAUCGGGCCGGUAACGCUGUUCUUCUGAACGCCGAUCUCAAUUGAGAUCGGCCGACAUUACCGUUUACACAAACCAUCGACGAAUUUAUUUAUUUAUUUUUUUUUAAUGAAAAGAAAACCAAACGAAAUCCGGAAAGAAACGAAAAUCCGGCAAAAGGUUUUGGCUCUGAUACCACAUGUUAGAAACUUUAUAAGAAUUCGGAUCGUACCUUCUACCAUGAUUUCGAUUUCUGUACCCGAUUUGUAAGCGGCGAUCCUUGUUCGUGGUUCGUCCUCGUUCGUGAUCUGCAAGAAGACGGGACGUUUCGAGUCUAAUUCCCUUAUCCCCGGAGAUGGAGCCGUCACAGACAAUUGGAUUAGGGUUAGACUGGGACUCCCAUAUGUUAUAUAUUUAUAUAUAACUUAAUGUAAAGAUGUUAAAUCACGUCCGUCCAUCAAGGACGUGUCCAGAUACAUUAUAACCGUAAGAUCUAAAAUAUCUUUAUAAAUCGACUUAAAUAGAUUGACCGUAUCUUUAUGGAUCGCCUUGAAUAUAUCACGUGGGUCACAUCCAACAUGUUCUUCUAGAACUAUUUAGUUUAAUGACCAACAGUUUUUAAUUAGAUUGUUUCGACUACGUACAAUAAAUGAUGACUCAAAAAGGAAAUGAUGAUACUAAUGUGAGAUAUAAGUUACACUAUGUUUUAUUGGUUUAGAUUUUUUUUUAAAAAAAUUAAAUCUUUUUAAACUUCUAUAGUUAUGAUUCAGAUUAUCAUUAUCUCUACGGUGUCCUGAUUUGUCCAUGAAUAAUGUUAAGAUAAUAAAAAAAAAAUGAAUACUAUUACCCGGUGGGGACCACUCAACCUUAGGGAUACUACUCAACCCUGGAGAGACUGCAAUCAUCUUAACCGUAUAAUUUUUGAUCUAAUAAUUAAAAAGUUGAAAGUGUCAGAUUCUCUAUACUUCCGAUAGCAUAAUAGUUUUACACGUAUAAUAUUAUAUAAUUUAAAUUGAACGAAUUUUAUUAAAUAUACCAUAAUUUUCUAUUUAGGCGUGUUUAAGUGGGGCAGAACUUUAUAGCACAAUCAAGACCUUUAUAUACAAAAUUCUACUUACCACUUCCUAAACAGGAUGACGUACCAUAUUGUGAGGCCAAUUAGUCAAUUAUUGUGUCUCUUGAGAAAAGAGGGACUUUAGAGAACAGUUCAUCCAGCAAAUUAAGUUUAGAACAUGUUUGGUACAUUUAGAACAUGUUAGAUUAUUAUAUUUGAAUGAAAAAUAGAAUGGCGAAUCAUCCAAUUAUGCUGGAAUGAUUAAUUGAAUAUUUAGAAUUUUGAAAAAAAAUUUUGAUUAAGAAAAAUGAGAGUAAUAAAAAGAGAGGAGGGAAGCGUUUGUAAGAGAGUUUUGAAUAUUUAGCCUAGAAAGAAUUAAAUUCAAAAUUUAAAAUCUAAUUAGAUUUUUUCUAUUUUAAAGUAAAAUAACAAUUCAAAUUCGACUUCUGUAAAACAAAUAAGAAUUAUCAAAAUUAGUAAAUUUUAUCCAAAUUUUAGACUUUUAAAUAGUUGCGCUAAGCAAGUCCUUAUAUAAAAGCUUUAGCUUCAAGUGAAUUAAAAUGUAAACUAUGGAUGAGAUUUUGAACCACAGAGCAGUUGAGUAGAUAGACAACUUUAUUACUUUCUCUUUUUUGUGCACUCUUUACCUAAUCCGGAUUUAUUUAUGGAAUUAACUGGUCUCAAGAAGUUUAGUUUGUACUUUGUAGCAACCAAACAUAAAGAAACUAAAAAUUAAUUUAUCUCAAACAAAUUCUCAAACACCUUGCAUAUAUGCUCAAUAUGCAGGUGCCCAAGAGAGUCAUUUUCAAAAAAAGUUUCCUAUAAUCCAAAAGUGAUAGUUUCAUUUUAAAUUUGUUCCAAUUUUCAAAUUUAGUUCUCAAAAUUUUGCUAGUCUCCACUCUCCACUUAAAAGUAAUUGCAAAACACUACGCAACGUAAUGUAACCGGAAUUUAAUUUCAUCCAACGAAUGAAAGAAUUACACAAACUACUCUUUUACAAUAUACUCGCUAUAAAAUACUAUAAUAAUAGAUAUAAUCCAACAAAAAUAUUUCCUCCCCGUAUCCCCCCAAAUCCUACGCCAAGGUGGAGCACGUAGACGUUGACGGGUCAAACAGCGCGGGGACGAGAUACUUCCUCCCGUGGGCCCCAUUCGCGUUGUAGCUGGCCCCCGUGGUGGGGUCCACCAAGAGGUCCCCAGCGUAACCCGGGUACGCGCCCUUCCCGUACACCCCCGUACACGCCGUCGCGGCCUCUAACGGAGCCUCUGCGGGUCCCUGGUAGUACCCGUUACGGAACGGGUUCGUCACCGUCCCAGCCAACAUGCUCGCGAGGUUGAUCACCAUGCCGUCGAUGCCGACGUCGCCGUUAGGCGCCGUCAACGGGCCGUAGACGGGCUGGUGGAAGGGCCACGCGCACUGGCCCGGGCACUGGACCGCCGAGUUCCCGACCCAGAUGUACGCGAACCGGCCCGCUCUGGACCGGGGCGACGAGCCGUGGGACCCGCACCGGCUCAUGCAGAAGCCCUCGACCGCCACGUCAUCGGCGGUGAGGACCACGUUGAUGGCGCGCCGCGGAGCUCCGCGGCGCACGAGCUCGACGAGCUGCGGCUCGGCGAGCGAGCGCCCGAGCGAGCACGACUCGUCCAGGACCUGCGCCCCGAGGGUGAGCGCGGGGAACCUGGCCUUCGACUGGGCGUAGUACUUGGCCGUGGUUUUCCACCACGCGGCGACCGAGGGCUCCGGCUGAGGAGGGGCCGCUGAGGAGAGGGAGGAGACGAAGUCGGUGAGCGUAGCGCGCUGGGAGGCGGUGAACUUACCGUACCAGAUGAGGUUGAUGGAGAUGGGGCCCGAGAGGAGCGCGCCCUUGUGGUAGGUUAGGGCUAGGGGUUGCUCCUCCACCAGCGCGGUGAGCGUCCUCGCCCCAUCGGAGAAGCGGAAGAGAUCGAGAGAGGAGGAGGAGAACACGAAGAAGCAAAAGAGAAGGAGAGGGUACGAAGCCAUGUAGCGAGAGUAGAGGAAAGGGGACUCCGUUAUGAGUGAGUGGUGGGAAUGAAGAGUAUUUACCAGCGGUAGAGUUAUAUAUAUAGAUAGAGUGGGAGAGUAGGGCUGUGUUUUUUUUUUUUUUUUUUUUUGAGUUAUUUUGAAUUGAGAAGAAGCACGAGGACGAGUGACGAAGAAGAAAAGACAAAGGUACUGGGCCCCACAAAGAGGAGCUUUUGGUGGGCCCACAAAGAGGUCACGGCGCCCGGGCCAAUGAACGGUCACAUCACAGCUGGCUUUGCUUGUUGCUCGUCCAGCUACAGUGAAUUCCGGACCCUUCCUUUACGAAAAUACCCCUGCUUUUAUACAAGUGUAAGGAAGUGAAAUGCAAAAUUUUAUUUAUUUGUAUAUAUAAGAGCAUAUUGUACAAAUUGUAUUAUUUUGAUUAGGAUAUAAAUUUUGUGGUCUUAUCUAAAAAUUCUAAAGAUAUAAUAUUUUUAUAUUUAUUUCGAUUCUCAUACAACACAGUACAUAAGGAUGGGGAAUUGGGCUAGGGGUAUUUUGGGUACGAGGAGAAAAGGUGGUCCGCUUCUCGAGGGGCCAAUUAAAUGAGGGGAGAGAAAAUCCGAACGUUGGAAAAAUUCUAGAAUGCAACGGGUAUAUUAGUGACGUGGCGUAACAAACCAAUCAAAUUAAUCCUUUUAAGAAUAUAUGUCCCGUCAUGAUUGUAAAAAAGUAUUUUUAUUGUACUUUUGUUUGAAAAGAAGGAAUGUGAUUGGCUUGUUAUUGAUGACGUGGUACAAGUGUGACAGUGUAGAAUUCCUCCGAACGUUGGGGGGAGAGGGGCAGAAUGGGAAGACAGGCUGGAAAUUUUGAAAUCUGACGUGGAAAGUGUUGGCGGGGAGUGGGGAAAUGACAGCUGUGAUGGGGACCACCUCGGGUCGUGUUAGGUUUACGGAGGCGCGCGCGUAGGCGCCAGCUCGUUAAUGCAAUUUAUUGCCCGCACGCUGUGCGCCACGUCAUCCGUGCACCAGAGAGGCAACUACGUCGCUGGUCUCCUAAACUUUACCAAAAUUUUUUUUUUUAUAGAAAAAACUUCAAAAAACUCCCAGUAGUUUCGUAGAUUCUCACUUUGCCCCUCUGUGAUUUAAAAUAUAUCAAAUUGCCUUCCUGUGGUUUCAUUUUUAUUUUUUCGGUAGCUUUUUCGUUAAUAUUUCAUUAAAUUAUAUAUAAAAAGCUUCAGAUACCCAUCUAGAUUUAUCAAAUAUUCACUUUAGUACGCUUUAAUUUUAACUUUAUCACUGAUUUAAAAAAAAAUAAUGAAAUUGAUAAGAAAAAGAAAAAAAGGAAACCAUAGGGGAUAAAUUGAUACAUUUUAAACCACAGGGGGGCAAAGUGCGAAUCUACGAAAUCAUAGGAGGGUUUUUGAAGUUUUUCCUUUUUUUAUAUCUAGAUUCCUUAUUUUUUAUUUUAAAUUUUAAUUACUAUUUUUGUUACCAAAAUAUUAUUAAUUCUAAUGACGUUAUAAUUAUUUUAGCACUAAGUAAUAUACACAAAGUUAAUAUCACAUCGAUGUCAAAUCUUAACUAAGUUUGGUAUUUAUCAGAAUUAUGUAUUUAGUUUGAUUAAAAAUAUUAAUAGCAUUUUUAUAGCAUAAGAUUUUAUUUAAAUAAAUAAUACAAAAUAGAAAUCUAAAUGUAAUGUUUUAUUUUUUCUAUUUCAACAAUUCGAUAAAGAAUGAAAAGGUGAACCAAAAACAUUAUAAAAAAAAAAAAAGAAAAAACUUCAAAUACUCCCCAUGUGGUUUCAUUUUUUCUCACUUUAGUAUUAUAUGGUUUAAAGUGUAUCAAGUUAGUAUUUUAUGGUUUUACACUUUUUCACUUUAGUACCCUGUGAUUUUAAGUGUAUCAAUUUAGUACCCCUAGUUUCACACUUUCUCGCUUUAGUAUUCUGUGGUUUCACACUUUCUCACUUUAGUACACUUGGUUUAGAAACCACAGGGUACUAACUUAAUACAAAAAUAAAAUCGUAGGGUUGUAACUUGAUACAUUUUAAAUCAUAGAGUACUAAAGUGAGAAAGUGUGAAACCACAGGAUACUAACUUGAUGCACUUUAAAUUAUAGAGUACUAAAAUGAAAAAGUACAAAAUUAUAGGGGAUUUUUUUGAAGUUUUUCAAAAAAAAAAAAAAAGCCAAACUCAGUGGAUUGCUUUCCUGGUGCACCAGGUGCAAGAAAUAACUUUUCCAGCAGGGGUAGCUACACCUGGGAUCCCAUUCGUACGACCUCCACCUCACAUUCAACUCGUGAGGCAUAAUCGGGGCAUCGCUUUUGGUAGCUUUUCUCUUUAUUAUGGUACUACCAUGACUCAGAAAACGAAAAAAAGAGAAAAUUGUAAGAAUUGAAAGGAAAAAACUACACUCUAUAUUUGAAUUUUUUAAAGAAAAAACUUCAAAAAACCCCCCUGUGGUUUCGUGCAUUCUCACUUUGCUACCCUGUGGUUUAAAACGUAUCAAUUUACCCCCAUGUGGUUUCAUUUUUAUCUUUUCGGAAGCUUUUUCGUUAAUAUUUCGUUAAAUUAUAUACAAAAAACUUCAGAUAACCAUCUAUAUUUAUCGAAUAGUCACUUUAGUAUCCUUUAAUUUUAACUUUGUCACUGAUUUAAAAAAUAAUAAUAAUAAAAUUGAUAACAAAAAGAUAAAAACGAAACCACAUGGGGGCAAAUUGAUACGUUUUAAACCACAGGGUAGCAAAGUGAGAAUGCACGAAACCACAGGGGGGGUUUGUGAAGUUUUCCCUUUUUUAAAUUAUCAUAUUUUUUUCUACAAUUUAAUUUGAGAGACUGAAUAUUUCAUAUUUUGUUGACGCAAUAAUAAUAUAAUAUCUUAAUAAUUAAAACAUUAUUUAUUAUAACACUGCCACAUUACUAUCAAAUUAGAAAUAUAUCAUUGUUUAACUAAUUAUUAAAUUGAUCUGUCAGAGUUAAUUAUAAUAAUUUUAAAAAAUUGAGUCAAAAAUUAAAUUAAAUUUUGAAGAUCAAAAUUUCAUGCUCCCCAUAUUUUGAGGACCGAGAGUAUUAUUUAGCCUAAUUAAAAGUUAGAACACUUUGACUGAUGGAUUAUAAGGUUGGAUAUUUAGUUCACUCAAUGACAAUUUGGGGGACUAUUUACAUAACCACAAGUUUGACUAGUUUCAUAACUUUUUCACAUCUGUUACUCUUUUGUGGAGAAUGAUGCAAUGACGAAUAUUUUUGGGUACCUAAGUUGAAAUUUGUGGAUCUGAUCACGAAACCCUCUCUAUAUUAAUCGCAGAUUAUAUUUUUUAAAAAAUGUUAAGGCUAGAUUUUGCAUUUUCUAAAAGAAGGUGUAGAGAAUCAAACUCUGAUCUCUUAAUUGAAGAUUCAGAAUACCCCGAACUUAAUCAUCAUCUAAGUAGCUUACUAGAAUUAAUACAGUGGUUAUGUGGGGUAUGAGUUCACUUCAGUGAAAAUCUCCCUAUGCGAUAAGGAUAGAGUGGGAGCAAAUUUUGUUUAUAAAAUGUCCGAAAAAAAAAGAAAAAUCAUCGCAAUCAAAGGGCAUCCAAAUUUAAACCUACCUAAACUGAAUCUCACAUCUAGCUUAAUUUUAACACUAAAAUAAACAACUGUCUAGAGCUAAGAUGCGCGAUUUUCUUAAUUAUACUCUCUCACUGCACUCUAUGUCUAGUAGUGUUGGAAAAUAAAUGAAAGGGUUCAAUUAUUAAUUAGGGUCUUAAAAUAAUCUUGUUGUUAAUUAAGCACUAGCGAAGCAGGGAUUAGCUCGAAAAAAAUGUUUUCACUGGAGUGGGAGCAAAUUGAAGUUGAAUUAACACCACUUGAAAUUUUUUAAUAAGCACUAAUUGAUCAUGAUAAUGGGUGUCAAAACAAUGUUGAAAACAUUGUUAGAUUCUUGAUGUUGGCUGGUUCUUGAAUAAAGAUAUUAAUCAGACAAAAGGAUGGCAUUAGGUACUUCAAUAAUUGUACUAUUACUGUAGCUCAUUAUUGUUCUUAAUUAUUUAGCAUAAAAAAGAAAGCACAUUUUUUUGAUGCAACCAAUGCAUUUCCUCUCAAGAAUGCUCGGUAAAAUUGUUUGUGCACUCUUCCCUUGUUUCAUAAAUUUACUGUUGUUUGAUAACAAAUUAGUUUCGCAGAUCAUGAUAUUAAUUUAGCGUUGCAGAACUCAAAGAUUAAGAGCAAAAUUAACUUUAAUACUAUGCUAUCUAAAAACAUCAGUCCGGUAAAAAAUAUUUUAGAAACAUGUUUAACAUGUUUAUUUCAGAUUCACUUAAUGCCAACAAAUGCAAAGAAAUUCACGAGUUACAAUUGAACAAAGUUUAAAGAUUUUAGAAAUCUAUCAAAACAAAUUGAAACUACUUGUUGUAAUUAUUUGGUCCACGAUAUGAUUUCUUGAGUUAUUGACAUUUUUAAAAAAUUGGACCAAUAAUAGUUGAAGAAAGUAAAAUUUCAAGUAUCUGAUCAAAUUAUUUCAAGAGGCGGAAUGUAAUACCUGUGUGACAACAUAUCCUGCCGUCUCAAACAAAUAGUUUAAGAAAUUCUUCUCACAUAAUUUUUGUCCUAAAUCCUUGGGCCAGGGGAGCAAGAACACGUCCAGCAGGGACGGCUACGAUAUUUGAGAACAAAUCUAAAUCUUUAGCGUUAUUUGCAGAAAAGGAUCUGCAACCCUUCUCAAAACUGCGCCACCCCACGUUCUUAUUCUAUCUAUCCUUUUUUUAGUAGUCUCUGAUACCAACCCAGGAGUGUUCUUUUGCUAAUCCUACUUAGCAAGCUUAUUGUUGUGUGGGUGCGAGAAAAUUAGCAUCUUAAUUAACUUAGUCCAACCACAACCCAAUCUCCUCACAUACCAAUAAUGGAGAAGUGCGAAGAGGAGAUAAACCUGUGUCCACUGUUGUUUUUGUCACUCUGAUGUAUAUAUAGAUCAUAAUAGGUUGUUUUUUUUAAUUCAUUAUUAAAGCCAUCUCUUUUUGAAAAAAAAUAAAUUAAUAAGAAGAGCGAUAUUUUGUAUCAAUAAAUAAAAAUGUCGAUGUAAAACCAACCUCGAUUCCAUCUCUAAGGUAAUUCUCACGCCAAUCUUAAAGUAAGAAAGAAAAAAGAUAUUACUAAUAUAAAUUAGUUUCACUCACUUAUCUAGAAGGUUAAAUAGGUUAAAUUACUGCUCUCUCUCUCUCUCUCUCUCUCUCUCUCUCUGGGNUUUUUUUUUUUUUUUUUUUUUUUUUUUCUUUUUGAGCUAAUAACUAAUCAAAUGUAACUAAAAUUACAGCGACAAUUCAAUGUACUGUAAGAAUUAAAGACCCCUGAAUUUGAAUCUUUUGGGCCAUCACUCAAUUAUAGAUCUCAAAAGUGUUACAUAUAUUACAGCUACACUAUUUUCCAGCUCAUGAGAACCUUCCUCUGUCACGUGCAAUCGAGAAUGAUACUACUCCAUUAAUGGUCGGCGCUAAUGCACCCUUUGACUUGAAAAUAUAUUUAUUGAGGCUUACGCAGGAACCAAGCAAGCAACAUACAUGAUCCAGCUGCCUCUUCUUAGUGUCCCUUAUCAACAAUAUAAUAAUAAAAAACAAAGGAAACUUGUAGGAAGCUCCCAGUACUGCAAUUAAGCCGCUUACCUGCUCACUGUUGCCCUAUAAAUAUAGGCCCUUCAUUUUACUCCAACACAUCAAUAUCCUCACAGCAAGCUCUCUCUCUCUCUCUCUCACUCACUUGCUCCUCCUCUUUUGCUCUCAAAUGGGUUCUUUUACUGCAGCAACAUCAAACCUUUUGCUAUUAGCAGUAGUGAUUUUUAGCCUAGUUCACUUAUCAACGGGGUCUAGUAGGAAACUGAGUGCUUUAGUAGAACCACAGCCCAAUCUCCUCACGUACCACAACGGCCAAGUGCUCCGAGGAGAUAUCCCUGUCUCCAUCUUAUGGUACGGUCAAUUUACUCCCACCCAAAAAUCCAUCAUCUCCGAUUUUCUCCUCUCCCUCACCUCCACCACUCAGUCCUCGCCGAACCCUUCUGUGUCCCAGUGGUGGAGCUCCAUAGAACAGCUUUACUUGUCGAAGGCCGGGAAAAGUGGAGGCCCAACAACGGCCCAUGUCGUGUUAGCAAGCCAAGUCUCGGAUGAGGGGUGCUCUUUGGGGAAGUCCCUUACGAUGGGCCAAAUUUCGGAGCUCGCCGCGAAGGCCCAGCCCAAGAAGGGAGGAGUUGGGCUGGUUUUCACGGCCCAGGACGUGGCGGUCGAGGGGUUCUGCAUGAGCCGGUGUGGGCUCCACGGCUCGGACCCGAGAACCGGGUCGGCGUACGUCUGGGUCGGGAACUCGGCGACCCAGUGCCCGGGCCAGUGCGCGUGGCCCUUCCACCAGCCCACCUACGGCCCACAGACCCCGCCGCUAACGGCGCCUAACGGCGACGUCGGCGUCGACGGCAUGGUGAUCAACCUCGCGAGCAUGUUGGCCGGGGCCGUUACGAAUCCGUUCGGGGACGGGUUCUUCCAGGGGCCCAAGGAGGCGCCGUUAGAGGCCGCGACGGCGUGCGCGGGUGUUUAUGGGAAAGGGGCGUAUCCGGGGUACGCUGGGGACCUGCAGGUGGAACCCACCACGGGUGCGAGCUACAACGGCAAUGGGGCCCACGGGAGGAAGUACCUGCUCCCCGCGCUGUUUGACCCGUCCACGUCCACUUGCUCCACGCUGGUGUGACAACCGUGCAUGUGUGGGAUUUAUACAUGUCGUAUGGAUGUGUAUCUAUCUAUGUGUUAGAACCGUUCGAUUCUUUGAUUCUUUUAUAUUGUUGUUGUACUAUUAAUAAUAUAUAAAUGGAGCUAAAAUUUUUUUUUGAUAGAAGCUACAACUUGAUAUUUAUAUAUAUAUAUAUAUGGGACUACAUAUAUCAGUGGUGUUUAAACACUUUGGCCCUCUCGUUGUGGCCUCCUCUCGCACAAAGGCCUGGGCUUGCACAAUAUAUAGGCCUAAAACUAAACUCGCAACAAGCUUGUUCGGUCAUGAACCUGGCCCAGUUGAGAAUUUUACAAAGCUAGUGAAGUCAUAGCCACGUGCGAAAAGAUUUGAGUUCCUACAAUCACAGAUUCGAUACAAAAGAUAUCUUUCGACAACUAACUAUAUCUAGCACAAUCAGUUAAGAGUUAAUUGGAUAGUUAAUAUCUAAGAUUCCAAAUUCUAAAAUUAAUUGUUUUACAAUUUUAGCCAAAUUUGUUUCUAAAAAAUCAACGAAAUAAAUAGCAAACUAUUUUUUUUCUAAAAAAUAAGACUGCUCAUGAUCCCUAUGUACUUGGUUCGAUAAUGAGGAUACUUUGAAAGAGUUAAUGUUUAAUAUGUUUGAGUUGAACAAAUUGAAGUUCUCAUGAAUCAAGCCCUUCUGGUUAAAUGGCGGUGGAAAUUCCACAUAGCUCCCCAGUUACAAUGGAAUCAGCUAGUCAGAGACCUGUACUACCGACGGCAUACUCCUUUGAGGGAAGGUAAAACUUUCAGACCCUACUCUAGCUGGUGGACGGGGGUGCUGAGCCUUAACUAUAUCUUUUCUUGGGGAAUGGCCUACAACCUAGGCAACAGGCGGGCUAUUGAUUUUUGGCACGAUCGGUGGUGUGGGGACAAUUUGAUGUUUCUUUUGUUUCCGACGGCCUACCUUAUGUCUGGGGGGAAAAAUUUGAAAGUCGGCGACUGUUUUACGAGGGGAAGGUGGAACUGGUCUUUGAUUGAGGGUGGCGCUGCGAGUCAGAGCCGAGGGACGAGGGCCAGUUUCGGGGAGUUAGAGGAACGAAUCUCUCAGCUCUCAGUUCGACCCACACCGGACAGGUUACUUUGGCGAUGGAGUGCAGAUGAACUAUUCACGGUAAAAUAAACCUAUAUGGCGUUGACGGAUGGGGGUACGAGGGACGCUCGAGCUUCUCGUGUUUGGAGACUCAAAAUCCCUUUAAAGGUAAAAGUGUUAUGUUGGCUGGUCCUUAAGAAGAGAACUCCUACGAGGGACAAGCUCUUCAAGAGAGGGUUGAUUCAAGACCCAACCUGUGUACUUUGCGGGUCGGAAGAUGAAACUGUGGAUCACAUGUUUUCCCAGUGCGUUUUUACCAUGUUUUUAUUAGUAAUGGGGGUAGUGGGCGUGCAAACACAAGACCUGGGGGAUGAGGUGAACCUAGUCUGGGACAGAUGGUUUGUCAGGAAGAGCCUACACACGAAGAGAAACAGUCUCACUGAGUUAGUUUGCUGCUGGUGGAUCGCUUGGAAAGCCAGAAAUGAUUUCAUCUUUAGGAAAAUCCAGCCGAAUCCAGAAAUGGCGAUCCGCUACCUAAAUCAGUUGGUGAAGGAGUGGGAUUCACUGCUCUCAGCUGCCGUUACGUGAUCUCUACCUGUACUUCUUUUUCUUUUUUUUUAGGGGCCCGAGUUGUCCCACUCUUAUAGCCUAGUUCAUCUUCCCAUUGAAUGAAGCGGGUAGCAUGCUACCUUUGUCUAAAAAAAAAAACAAAUUGAAGUUCUACGAUCAACCGUGUAACUCGUGACUUCUACAUUUCUAACGAAGAUAGAUUCUGCAUUGUAUGAUUUGCUCUGGCGUUUAUAUUCACUCCACACAACACUUCUAAUAAAACUCAGAUUACAAACAAUACGGAUCCUUCUUCUGCGCAAUAUCUAGGAGACUAACAAAUGAAAAAUAAACAAAAAUCACACACCGUCCGUUUAUCAUCUACUACCCUUUUAAAGCUGUCAAUUCCCUCUACCCUCCAAAGUAUGCUUAUAAUAAUAAUAAUUUACUUGGAUUCACCGCCACGAUCAAAAUAAAUAAAAAAUGCCAAUGUACAUGCAUCUGCUUCAUAUUGGAAUCGUACCGGUGUAAGUGAAGAUCUUGCAAAAUGUAGCUGCUCCCCUGUGCCCCUCUCUGCGAGACCACAUUGGAGACAUAUGUAUGGUGCACACCAUAAUAUGCACACAUGGCGCUCAGAUUCCGAGGCUUUAGUACACUACCAAACAUGAACUAAAUCUAACACCAGCACGGCCACAAUUGUUUUAGCUUAUUAUUUUUAUCUGAUGUUGAUGUGGUAAUCGUAAGCGCUAACCAACUAUUCCAAACACACCUGUUGAUAAGAAAGGUUCACCAAUCGCAUUUAAGGGCUCAGUCACAACGCUCGUGAAUUUCAACCUGACUCAAUAUUUCUGAAUGUUGGGUCUAUUAUUAGAUCUCUUACUGUUAGACCUCUUGUGGUUCGCAUCUUCAUUCAACUUAUUAGACUUAUCCAACUCAAGUUAUUAGUUUUUUGAGUCUAUUGUCACAGGACAAGAUAUUAAUUCUAUUUUAGUCCAAUAAUAAAUAGCCAACAAUAACGUGCAUAUUGUGAAUGCAUUUGAGAUGUUUUAUACAUCUUGUUUGACAUUCCACAUAAAUUGAUCAAUUAAGUAGCUAUUAGAAUAUUAAAAUUUUGAUGUAUUGGUAUUAUAUUGAAUACGCCCAUCUAAGAUGCACGCUGCACUGUACAGUACGGUCUCUGUUUCUUGGAUUUGGGCAUUCGGGAUGGACACUGGACAUGGGCAAAGGGAAGUGUUUCCCACAUCCCGUGAAUAUGGUGGCGUUAUGAGUUGUGUUCACACAAAUGGGGUCAGGUACAGAGUUUUAGCACGUGGGAACCAUCACCCAACACGUGAUGGCCCAUUGCUUGUUAUUGUGUGUCGACUUUCACUGUAGCUGCAGCAGUACCCACGCGUGAAGUCCCCAAAUCCCAAUCUAAGCUUUUAUUUUUGGCAACAUGUGUGGAUAGUCCAUUUAACAUCAGAUAUUAAAAUUCAUUUAUUAAAUUUUUUUGGGAAAACUUCAAAAACCCCCCAUGUGGUUUCGUGCAUUCUCACUUUGCUACCCUGUGGUUUAAAACGUAUCAAUUUGCCCCCCUGUGGUUUCGUUUUUAUCUUUUUGUUAUCAAUUUUAUUAUUAUUUUUUUUUUAAAUCAGUGACAAAGUUAAAAUUAAAGGAUACUAAAGUGACUAUUUGAUAAAUAUAGAUGGUUAUCUGAAGUUUUUUGUAUAUAAUUUAACGAAAUAUUAACGAAAAAGCUUCCGAAAAGAUAAAAAUGAAAUCACAGGGGGGUAAAUUGAUACGUUUUAAACCACAGGGUAGCAAAGUGAGAAUGCACGAAACCACAGGGGGGGUUUUUGAAGUUUUCCCAAUUUUUUUUCGCUUAAAAAAAUUUUUUUUUUUUUGUUUCUAAUUUGUACGUGCAUUGCAUUGGAGGCUGGUUUUCUAUAGCCUUGUGCGCAAACAAAGUUCUUACAUAUUUUAGUUAAUUUAUUUUAUUCGUAAAGUAUAUUAAAUAUAUCUGUAAAGAUAAAGACGUUGAUCAAUUCGAAUUAAACAAAUUAAUAUUUUGAAAGAAUAAUAAAUAGCGAACUCAAAAUGAUCCAUAGUACACGUAAUACUCGCUUAUUUUAGUCAAGUACACACUUUAACAAACAUUGUUCAGUAGCACGAGGACUAUACAUUCAAUUUAUUCGUUAUUUCAUGAAGAAGGGAUUGCAUGUUCUACUUUUCUUUCUCCUUAUUUUUUUUAAAAAAUAUUUUAUGAGAAGUGAGAAUCGAUCCCCUGGUCCAUUAUGCAUCUUUAUGUGAACAUUCAUUAUUUUUGAAGCUCAAUUAAUUGAUCUCUAUCGACUCAUUUUCCUAUGCCUCCCGGUUCAUGCACCCGUGCUCGCAGUUGCAGUGGCAGUCGAUUCUCAGAAGCGCUUCUUCUUAACUUUGGAAAAUUACUUCUCGGAAUAGCUGAUUAAUUGCUUCCCUGUCUGAUUGCUUCACGAGUCUCCCGUACGUACCUAGAUUAUGAAGCCUUAUUCAUGUUCGAAUUAUUUUUUAAUUCCUCAAAUCCUAAUAAACCUACAAGUUUGGUUUUACUCGAAAAUGUUAAUUUAAGAUAAAAAAAUAUAUAUAUAAUUCGCGAUCUACGAAUUUGAUCUUGUUAUGUAACUUGCAUUUGUUUCGCACACUAGUACCAGUUCAGUACUCGUAUAUUUAUGUGUUUGCACUAGGCUUAUGCCAUACUAGUAGUGUGUCAAGCAAGUGGCAGAAAUAAAUAAAAAAAUAAUAUUUUUUAUCAGCGGCUAUGUAACUGUAGUAAUUAUCACAUUUGUUUAUUUACUUUACCAUAAAUUUUUGGAUUUGCAUGUAAAGAGAUAAAAAUAUUUAUAAUAAUUAAUUUUCAUUCUUUUUUAUCUUUUUUUCUUCUGUGCUAGACUUGGAAUAAAUUAAUUACAACGUUAUGAAAAAAAAAAAGAAAAGUUACCCACGGCAAAUCAAAACUGUAGAACUAAACAUUUGCGAUAAGAAAAAAGUUUUUUACUUUCUCUACUUUGAAAAAUAAACAUGCCUGAAGUGGCAUGGUUAAUGCUAUCCAAAUGGAUCCUGACACUGUUGUUUAGCUAAAACGUGCACGACAAUUUUCUUUCUUUAAUUUAUUAUUUAUAUUUUUAUUGUGACUUAUUUUUCAUGCCAUAAUUAAGAUUUUUAUUUUUUGUUUUUUUUUUAGAGAUAAGUAGAACGCUACCCGCUUCGUUUAUUUCAUUUAGAAAUAAACUUAGCUGAAAAUAUAAAUCAACUAGGAUUCGAACUUAAAACCUCAUAUACUGAUCAUAAUUAAGGUUCUCACUCCCCAACAAAGCGUAGCUACGAGACACUGCCCUGUGAUCUGGCUUGGGCCCUGCUCUUUAUCUUUCCUCCAUUUUUGAGUUCCAUAGGUUAGGCCACAACCUACUAAUAAAGCUUUUAUAUAUAUAUAUUGCAAUUUGCAAACAGUGGCAGUUAAGUCACGGAUCCAUUAGGAGAAAAUUACAAACGGUUCCUCGUCACAUGCAGGAUCGACCAUUUUCAUAAUGUUUUUAUAAAUCAAUGCAUAAAUAAAUUUCCCACAUUUCUCAACUUCUCAUAGAACCCAAUUCAUCUCCAAAAAUGUCUGAUAUUGUGUCGCAAUUAUUUGUCACGCUCUUACUAAUAGGCUCAAGAUAUGAAUUUAAAUAAAAAAUUAUUUAUUUUUUUUGCUAUGAUGCUAUACGAAAUAAGAUACAAUUAUUAUUGUUUUCUAAAAAUUUAAAUUAUUAACUAGCAGUAUUUUAAUAUUAUGUUCAACAUUUAAGGAAGGUUUUAAUGGUGAAUACCCAAUUCUACAUCCCUAAAAAAGGAGAAAAAUAAAAUAAAAAAUAAAAAAGAGUUGUUAGAAUCGUUUUUCAAAAGUAAAAUAAAAAAGAAAAUGUAGCAACCAAUGAAAAAUGGACACAUGUAUUGGAAAUUACUAGAGCUUUUGCACUACACGGCCCACCGCCGCUAAUUUUUAUUUGAAGAGAUUCGGUUUUGCUACUUUAAUUGUAGGAGUUGUUGCAUUAAUUAAGAACUUAAUCUCAUC